rnacentral:rRNA from 1 species
UGGGGGAUAUUGCACAAUGGGCGAAAGCCUGAUGCAGCGACGCCGCGUGGGGGAUGAAGGCCUUCGGGUUGUAAACUUCUUUUGCUCUGAACAAGGCGCACCAUGGGGUGUGUUGAGUGUAGGGGUUGAUUAGCGCCGGCUAACUACGUGCCAGCAGCCGGGUAAUACGUAGGGCGCGAGCGUUGUCCGGAAUUAUUGGGCGUAAAGGGCUUGUAGGUGGCUGGUUGCGUCUGUCGUGAAAGCUCAUGGCUUAACUGUGGGUUUGCGGUGGGUACGGGCUGGCUUGAGUGCAGUAGGGGAGGCUGGAAUUCCUGGUGUAGCGGUGGAAUGCGCAGAUAUCAGGAGGAAUACCGGUGGCGAAGGCGGGUCUCUGGGCUGUUACUGACACUGAGGAGCGAAAGCAUGGGGAGCGAACAGG